CUGAUUUCUUUCUAAUAAAUACCCAGUUUAAACUAAUGCUUCAUACCACAGGCAAACAUUUCAACAUGGUGAGAACACUGGUCGUGUUUGCAUGGACCUUGGUGGGACUCUGUGCUCUGUCUCUGGCUGUCGGGUAUGACCAGUGCGACAAAAGCAUCUCGGACAGGUGCCCAUCGGUAGACCCAGCCACGCCCGUGUACCUGGCCGUUCCAGAGAACUGCCUGGAAUACUGCGAGUGCUCCAACGGCGUCGCCUGGCUCUUCCACUGCGACGUUGAACAGGCCUGGGACGACUCCAAGAAGCGCUGCGACUUCAUAGACAACGUGGACUGCGGCGGUCGUCCUAUUCCCCCGUUCUAAGGGUCGUUCUUGCUGGAAGAAACGAAAUGACGGAGGAACUGAUGGAACCCCGACAAACAGAAGAGAAGAGGAAAGAUGCGAGAGAAAGCAUUUGAUCUGCAUCAGUUCUGGUCAGAACGAUUAAAGGUGCAGACAUCAAAAACGACAUCUGGUUUAUCCUUUGCAUAUCCCCAGUUUUGUUGGUUUUGUGGUACGAACGGGUCAAUCAAGGUUUGUAUUUCUUUUACCAGGAGGAUUAUUAACGUAUAUUAAAAGCAUGAGACAUCAAUAUCUUGUUUUUUUA